GACGAACGCUGGCGGCGUGCUUAACACAUGCAAGUCGAACGAGUGGCGAACGGGUGAGUAACGCGUAGGUAACUACCUAUUAGAGGGGGAUAACUAUUGGAAACGAUAGCUAAUACCGCAUACUAGUAGAUGGACCUGCGUUGUAUUAGCUAGUAGGUAGGGUAAUGGCCUACCUAGGCAACGAUACAUAGCCGACCUGAGAGGGUGAUCGGCCACACUGGGACUGAGACACGGCCCAGACUCCUACGGGAGGCAGCAGUAGGGAAUCUUCGGCAAUGGGGGGAACCCUGACCGAGCAACGCCGCGUGAGUGAAGAAGGUUUUCGGAUCGUAAAGCUCUGUUGUUAAGGAAGCGGUAUCUAACCAGAAAGCCACGGCUAACUACGUGCCAGCAGCCGCGGUAAUAC
rnacentral:rRNA from 1 species